AUGGACUCGUAUGAUCAUGUCCAGAAGCGACUCGCCAUGGCCACGGCAUUCAAAGAGGAGAUCUUCGUCGGCGCCGGCCUCUCCUUUGGCCUUCUCGACCCGACCACCAACAUCAUCUACAACACCCUCACCGCCUCCGACCUCUGCGCUGACGAAAUCAAGGCUGUUCAGCACCGGGACAUUGCCGAGCGCUCCCUGGACGGCCUUGUCGCCUUCCUCGUCUCCUUCUUCCGCUACCUCGCGGACUGGGAGGCCGUGCGCUACCUGCUCCUCGCCGACGCCGACCUCGUCUACGCGAUGCGCCUCAUCGUGCAUGACCGGUGCCUCUCUUUCUUCAAUAUCAACUCUGAUACCAGCAGGUCCGUUGUCCGCACUGCCCUAAUGUGCGCGGCGCGGGCCUCCAAGCACAUGGAUCCCUACCACCUCGUCCGCACCUGGCUGUCGCCGAUUCGCCCUCUAGAAGAAGCUGUGCACGCGAUCCAGAAUGACAUCAAUAAUUUUCACCUCUGUAUUCGACCCACGGCACCAUGCUCGCAAGCGUCCUCGCAUGUCAAUGCAACCCCUUGA
rnacentral:rRNA from 1 species